UUAUCGCGCAUCGCCUUGAGUUUGAUCUGGCUCAGAACGAACGCUGGCGGCGUGCCUAACACAUGCAAGUCGAGCGGACCGCGUGGGGCAACUCGCGCGGUUAGCGGCGGACGGGUGAGUAACACGUGGGUAACCUACCUGGGAGACCGGGAUAACAUCUCGAAAGGGGUGCUAAUACCGGAUACGUUCCCUGGGACACAAGUCUUGGGGAGGAAAGGUGGCGCAAGCUGUCACUCCCAGACGGGCCCGCGGCCCAUUAGCUAGUUGGCGGGGUAACGGCCCACCAAGGCGAUGAUGGGUAGCCGGCCUGAGAGGGUGGUCGGCCACACGGGGACUGAGACACGGCCCCGACUCCUACGGGAGGCAGCAGUGGGGAAUCUUCCGCAAUGGGCGAAAGCCUGACGGAGCAACGCCGCGUGGGGGACGAAGGCCUUCGGGUCGUAAACCCCUGUCAUGGGGAAAGAAGGGUCUCGGGGUGAACAGCCUCGGGGCCUGACGGUACCCCAAGAGGAAGCCACGGCCAACUCCGUGCCAGCAGCCGCGGUAAUACGGAGGUGGCAAGCGUUGUUCGGAAUUACUGGGCGUAAAGGGCGCGUAGGCGGGGAGGUAAGUCGGGUGUGAAAGCCCUCGGCUCAACCGAGGAACGGCGCCCGAAACUGCUUCUCUUGAGUCCCGGAGAGGAAGGUGGAAUUCCGGUGUAGCGGUGNAUGUGUAGAGAUCGGGAGGACACCGGUGGCGAAGCNGCUUUCUGACGUGACUGAGCUGAGCGCGAAACGUGGGAGC
rnacentral:rRNA from 1 species